GCCUUAGUAGCGGCGAGUGAAGCGGCAAAAGCUCAAAUUUGAAAUCUGGCACUUUCAGUGUCCGAGUUGUAAUUUGAAGAAGGUAUCUUUGGGUCUGGCUCUUGUCUAUGUUUCUUGGAACAGAACGUCACAGAGGGUGAGAAUCCCGUGCGAUGAGAUGUCCCAGACCUAUGUAAAGUUCCUUCGAAGAGUCGAGUUGUUUGGGAAUGCAGCUCUAAGUGGGUGGUAAAUUCCAUCUAAAGCUAAAUAUUGGCGAGAGACCGAUAGCGAACAAGUACAGUGAUGGAAAGAUGAAAAGAACUUUGAAAAGAGAGUGAAAAAGUACGUGAAAUUGUUGAAAGGGAAGGGCUUGAGAUCAGACUUGGUAUUUUGUAUGUUACUCUCUCGGGGGUGGCCUCUACAGUUUACCGGGCCAGCAUCAGUUUGGGCGGUAGGACAAUUGCAAAGAAAUGUGGCACUGCCUCGGUAGUGUGUUAUAGUCUUUGUCGAUACUGCCAGCCUAGACUGAGGACUGCGGCUUCGGCCUAGGAUGUUGGCAUAAUGAUCUUAAGUCGCCCGUCUUGAAACACGGACCAAGGAGUCUAACGUCUAUGCGAGUGUUUGGGUGUAAAACCCGUACGCGUAAUGAAAGUGAACGUAGGUAGGACCUCCUUUAGGAGUGCACUAUCGACCGAUCCUGAUGUCUUCGGAUGGAUUUGAGUAAGAGCAUAGCUGUUGGGACCCGAAAGAUGGUGA
rnacentral:rRNA from 1 species